rnacentral:rRNA from 1 species
UACGAAGGGAGCUAGCGUUGUUCGGAAUCACUGGGCGUAAAGCGCACGUAGGCGGAUUGCUAAGUCAGGGGUGAAAUCCCGGGGCUCAACCUCGGAACUGCCUUUGAUACUGACAAUCUAGUGUCCGAUAGAGGUGGGUGGAAUUCCUAGUGUAGAGGUGAAAUUCGUAGAUAUUAGGAAGAACACCGGUGGCGAAGGCGGCCCACUGGAUCGGUAUUGACGCUGAGGUGCGAAAGCGUGGGGAGCAAACAGG